rfam:Mortierella elongata AG-77 unplaced genomic scaffold K457scaffold_10, whole genome shotgun sequence.
GAAUUUGGUGAGAAAGAAGAUUAAGAAGAGUCGAAGAUGUAUGAGAGUACGAAAAAGAUUUGGGUACAAUUAAUAACUGCCCUUCGCACAGCGACGUUGCCUUUUGAUCCUUCGAUGUCGGCUCUUCCUAUCAGAAUUCGUUGGAUUGUUCACCCACUCAUAGGGAACAAGGCCUGGGGUUUAGACCGUCGUGAGAGAUCAGUUAUGACCUACUGAUGGAAUGUUGUUGCAAUAAUUAUUGUACGAAAGAAACAGUUCCUUCUUGUCUUAUGGCUGAACGCCUCCAAGUCAGAACCCGCGCUAGAACGCGACGAUUACUGCGUUGACCAGUUUGAGGUGAAUACGAAUAGACCUACGGUCCUGAACAUUACGAGUGUGUGGUUAUUGUUGGUGAGCAGGAAAGGCUCUAAGACAUUCAGUAGAAUAGCUUUGUUGCUGUCAUCUCUAUUUCACCUUUUUUUUCC